rnacentral:pre_miRNA from 1 species
CAGGGUGACCAACCCUCCUGGUUUGCCUGGAACUGAGGGAUUUCCCAGGCUGUGGGAUUUCUGGUGAUAAAACUGGGACAGUCCUGGGCAAACCAGGAUCGUUGGUCACCCCUAACAUCA